rnacentral:rRNA from 1 species
CCUACGGGGGGCUGCAGUGGGGAAUAUUGGACAAUGGGGGGAACCCUGAUCCAGCCAUGCCGCGUGUGUGAAGAAGGCCCUCGGGUUGUAAAGCACUUUCAGUGAGGAAGAACGCCUGGUGGUUAAUACCCAUCAGGAAAGACAUCACUCACAGAAGAAGCACCGGCUAACUCCGUGCCAGCAGCCGCGGUAAUACGGAGGGUGCGAGCGUUAAUCGGAAUUACUGGGCGUAAAGCGCGCGUAGGUGGCUUGAUAAGGCGGUUGUGAAAGCCCCGGGCUCAACCUGGGAACGGCAUCCGGAACUGUCAAGCUAGAGUGCAGGAGAGGAAGGUAGAAUUCCCGGUGUAGCGGUGAAAUGCGUAGAGAUCGGGAGGAAUACCAGUGGCGAAGGCGGCCUUCUGGACUGACACUGACACUGAGGUGCGAAAGCGUGGGUAGCAAACAGGAUUAGAUACCCUGGUAGUC